rnacentral:rRNA from 1 species
AAGUCGUAACAAGGUCUCCGUUGGUGAACCCAGCGNAGGGAUCAUUACAGAGUGCAAAACUCCCACAAACCAUCGCGAAUCUUACCCGUACGGUUGCCUCGGCGCUGGCGGUCCGGAAGGCCCUCGGGCCCCCCGGAUCCUCGGGUCUCCCGCUCGCGGGAGGCUGCCCGCCGGAGUGCCGAAACCAAACUCUUGAUAUUUUAUGUCUCUCUGAGUAAACUUUUAAAUAAGUCAAAACUUUCAACAACGGAUCUCUUGGUUCUGGCAUCGAUGAAGAACGCAGCGAAAUGCGAUAAGUAAUGUGAAUUGCAGAAUUCAGUGAAUCAUCGAAUCUUUGAACGCACAUUGCGCUCGCCAGUAUUCUGGCGAGCAUGCCUGUUCGAGCGUCAUUUCAACCCUCAAGCCCUGCUUGGUGUUGGGGCCCUACGGCUGCCGUAGGCCCUGAAAGCUAGUGGCGGGCUCGCUAUAACUCCGAGCGUAGUAGUAAAAUAUCUCGCUAGGGAGGUGUCGCGGGUUCCGGCCGUGAAAGCCCAUCUUUUACACAAGGUUGACCUCGGAUCAGGUAGGAAUACCCGCUGAACUUAA